CAGCCGCCGCGGGAAUACGUAGGGUGCGAGCGUUAAUCGGAAUUACUGGGCGUAAAGCGUGCGCAGGCGGUUGUGUAAGACAGGUGUGAAAUCCCCGGGCUUAACCUGGGAACUGCGCUUGUGACUGCACAGCUAGAGUAUGGCAGAGGGGGGUGGAAUUCCACGCGUAGCAGUGAAAUGCGUAGAGAUGUGGAGGAACACCGAUGGCGAAGGCAGCCCCCUGGGCCAAUACUGACGCUCAUGCACGAAAGCGUGGGGAGCAAACAUGAUUAGAUACCCCAGUAGUCCCUGUCUCUUAUAC
rnacentral:rRNA from 1 species